rnacentral:rRNA from 1 species
UACGUAGGGUGCAAGCGUUGUCCGGAAUUAUUGGGCGUAAAGAGCUCGUAGGCGGCUUGUCACGUCGACUGUGAAAACCCGGGGCUCAACUCCGGGCCUGCAGUCGAUACGGGCUGGCUUGAGUGCGGUAGGGGAGACUGGAAUUCCUGGUGUAGCGGUGAAAUGCGCAGAUAUCAGGAGGAACACCGGUGGCGAAGGCGGGUCUCUGGACCGAUACUGACGCUGAGGAGCGAAAGCGUGGGGAGCGAACAGG